GCGUCUCUAAUGUUGAUUAGUGUUGGUUGUUAAGCUUUAGGGCAGUUAUUCUAAACUGAUGUAUAAAAGAACUCUUAGAGACUUGUAAAGGGAGCUGUUGUGAAUGAAUUUGCAUUAUUCUCUGUAAAUCUCCUAAUCUUCUGUGUUUUCUUCCUUUUCUAGUUCAAUUCUGCUUCUAGACUUUCUUUUCUCUCUCUUUCAGUUCUUCCUUCUUCUCUCCCUAAUUCUUUUCUUUUUUGAAACUAUAACUCAUCAUUCUGCUGAUUCUUUCCUCUAUAUUUUCUUCCUCCUCCAUUCUUGAACCUGGCCCUGUCCUCUGUUCUUAACAUUUUUCUGUUCUCUCUCUUCUUUUCUUGGCUUCGAAACCCAUCCAUUAAGAUUCAUAUACAUUUUUCUCAUUCUAUCCCUAAAUUUCACCCAUUUUAUAACACCAAAUUUCUGCCAUGAAUUAUAUUCCUUUCUCGGUCACAAAGACCUUAUCAGAAUAGGUGCAAGGGCUUGUGUUUGUUGUGUGAUAAGCAAUUUACUUUUAACCAUGAUUGUGACAAGGAACCAAUUAUAGUGAGCAUCAUAAAUGACAUUGUAGAUUAAGAAGAUAAUGAUGAAAAUAGUGAGAAAUUGCAACAAAUACAAGAGAAGGUUCCUGCCAUCAAUGAUAGCAUUCAACAAGAAUGGCCCUCAAUAGUAAAUAUUUCUGUCGUCAAUAACAAUGGUCAACAAGAGUGCCCACCAAUCUUGCAGCCACUCGAAUGCUCUAGAUGGGACAAAGAAGGCCAAGAUUCUAAGAACUCAACCUUUUCUUUGCUUCAGAAAUCACUUUCAGAUGAUCAAAAUUUUUUAA
rnacentral:misc_RNA from 1 species